rnacentral:rRNA from 1 species
UACAGAGGUCUCAAGCGUUGUUCGGAUUCAUUGGGCGUAAAGGGUGCGUAGGCGGCGCGGUAAGUCGGGUGUGAAAUCUCGGGGCUUAACUCCGAAACUGCAUUCGAUACUGCCGUGCUUGAGGACUGGAGAGGAGACUGGAAUUUACGGUGCAGCGGUGAAAUGCGUAGAUAUCGUAAGGAAGACCAGUGGCGAAGGCGGGUCUCUGGACAGUUCCUGACGCUGAGGCACGAAGGUCAGGGGAGCAAACGGG